CCUCCUAUGUUUAAGUUGGUAGAGCGCAUGACUAGUAAUCAUGAGCUUCGUGGUUCGAAUCCGCGCGGGAGUA
rnacentral:tRNA from 1 species